GCCUUCUUAGCUCAGUGGUAGAGCGUGUCACUCGUAUAUCUCGUGUAGCGUAACAAUGACAAGGUCAGUCGUUCAAGUCGGCUAGGAGGCA